AAAUGAUGACAUUGGAAUCUAUUUUAAAAAUGAAAAACAAAGACUAGAUCUAGAAAUGGAAAACAGAGUCUAGAUCUAAAUAGAAAUUUUGUAACUCUUGUUCAUUUUGCACCAACUCAUUCUCUCUCUCACACACAGAGCAGAAAGAAACUCUCUCCCACACACACAAAGAGCUCAGAAACAAUGGAAGGAGAAGCUGUUGCAGCCGUCCUUCAAGUUCUGGUUCAAAACCUCAUCGACGUUUCCAAGAAUGAAAUCUCACUAAUCCGAGGUCUCGACAAAGAAGCAGCGAAGCUAACUGGGAGUCUCGACACCAUCCAGAAGUUCCUCAACGACGCGGAGCAGCGCACCAUCCCCGGCGUCGGCGAGGCUGUCAAGAGCUGGCUGAAGAAGCUUGAAGACGUGGCGUUCCAUGCUGACAACGUUUUGGAUGAGCUCAACUAUCAUCGCCUCUCCAAACAAAUUAAGCGCACCAAACCCUUGAAGGCGAAGGUACUAUCGUGCUUCUCAUCAUCCUUCAAUUCUAUUGCGCGACCAAGAAAUAUGGCAGUUAGAAUCCGAGAAAUCAAUGAGAGUUUGGACUCCCUUCACAAAGAGGGAGCUGGGCUUGGCCUCAAUGAGAGGGUUGCUGCCGAUGUGCCCACUUCGAUUAAUGCUGCUAUUUUUGAAACUGAUUCAUUCACUCUUGAUCCAAUUUUUAUUGGAAGAGAUGAUGUUGCGUCGGAAAUAGUUGAGAUGCUUACCACCAAUAGCAUCACAACUGAUGAACGCACAAUUUCCAUCAUUUCCAUUGUCGGUAUGGGGGGAUUGGGGAAGACGACAUUGACUAGAAAAAUCUUCAAUCGUCUCAAGGAUGAGACUCGGUUUGGAUCAUAUAUUUGGGUGCAUGUUUCUCCUAAUUUUGAUACAAUCAUUCUUUUCAAGAAAAUUCUCAAUGAGUUGACUUCUGACAAAGCUGAAAAUACGAGUAGACAGGAUAUUCUUUCAAAGAUUCAACAAGCUUUGAAAGAUAAAUCCUAUCUUCUUGUUCUUGAUGAUGUCUGGAAUGAAGAUGGUUCCAAAUGGGAAGAUUUGAUGAAUUCCUUAUUGGGAGUUAGUUCUGUCAAGAGAAAUGCAAUUGUUGUUACUACCAGAAGUAUGGAGGUUGCUUCAAUUGUGAAUCCACUUUAUACACAUGAGUUGAAAAGCUUAUCAGAGGAAGAUUGUUGGUCCAUAAUCAAAGUUAAAGCCUUCGGUGAAGGAAAUGUUCCUAUGGAAUUUGAGAGUACCGGAAAAAAGAUUGCAAGAAGAUGCCAAGGUUCGCCAUUAGCGGCCAACGUGGUUGGGGGAGUGCUGCGCAAUAAAUCCGAAGAAAAAUGGCUCUCCAUCGAGCAGAAAUGGCUUUCACAAGAUGAAGGAGCUAAUAUCUCAAAAAUAUUGAGAUUGAGCUUUGAUAAUUUGUCUCCGCCAUUACUUAAAAAGUGCUUUGCGUACUGUGCGAUGUUUCCUAAAGGCUCCGAAAUCAUGAAACAGAAACUGAUUGAGUUGUGGAUGGCAGAAGGUUUUCUUCAAGCUGAUGGAAGGGAUGACAUGGAGUCUUUGGGCGAAAACUUUGUCAACGUUCUUCUGCACAACUCUUUGCUGAAAGUUUCAGAGAGAGAUGAGGACGGAGAUGUAGAAAGUUGUAGCAUGCACGAUCUUGUGCACGAUCUCGCUUCUUCUGUUUCAAGUUCCUCUAACAAUACUGGUGGUAGCAGCCGAGUUCGAUACAUGACUCUCGGAGAUAUAACAAAUCCUAUCCCAAAAGAAAUGGCAAAAUCUCUGCGUACAUUAUUAUUGAAUGGUGAUAUUUCUGGUAUCAACUUCUCAGACUUGGAAAGUCUGCAUGUUUUACGUCUUGAGUAUGGAGUUGAAGAGUUGUCAAGUUCGAUUCGAAAGUUGAUACAUUUGAGACAUUUUGACAUUUCAGAGACAUGGGUUCAAUAUUUGCCGGAUUGGAUUGGUGAAUUCUUUCACUUGCAGACGUUGAGAGUAGUCUCAGAAUAUUUGAAACUGCCAAGUACGAUUAAGUACUUGAUUAACUUAAGGCAUCUUUAUAUUCACUGGAGUCAUGAGUUGCCUGCGGGAAUCGGGCGAUUAACUUCUCUCCAAACGCUGAAGUACUUCCCAGUGGGGGACGAGAAUGGGUGCAAAAUUGAAGAGCUCGGAAGUUUGAAUAAUCUUAAAGGAGAGCUAAGGAUUAGGAAUCUGGAAAGGGUUGAUGACAAGGAAGAGGCUCGGAAAGCCAAUUUAUUCCAAAAGUCAAAAAUAUUGAACUUGCGUUUGCAAUGGGGUAAUGAGAGAGAAGGUGAAAGAAAUGAUGAGAAUGUAUUGGAAGGCCUGCAGCCUCACUCGGACUUGAAGAAGUUAGAGAUUUAUAGAUACAAAGGCAGUAGGUUUCCAUUAUGGACUCAGAAGAUGGCAGUUGGAGAUGUGGUACUUAACAAGUUAAUGUCGUUAUCACUCUAUGACUGCACAGAAUGUGAAGAGAUCCCAAUGUUGGGGCACUUGCCCAAUCUCAAGUCCCUUGAGUUGACUUGGUUGAGCAAUUUGAAGUGUAUAAAUUCUUCAUUCUACGGAAUGGUGAACAAGGACACACGCAUUGUUUUUCCAUCUCUCGAAAAGCUCAGAUUGGAACACAUGCCCAAGCUGGAAGAGUGGGCAGAAAUAGAAGUUUCGGGUGGAAGUGAAGUGAAGCUAUUUCCCCGACUCCAACAUUUGAUAAUUGAGAAUUGCGAGCAAUUGAUGAGUGUUCCAAGUCAUGUCUCGUCAUGCCUUCAACAUUUGACAAUUCGUUGGACCGGUCUGGAAUGUCUCCCAGCUGAUUGGUUAUUCAGUAACAACCAGACUCUCUCUGAAUUGUAUAUAAGGGAGUGCCCCAAUUUGAGAGAAUUAGGGGAUAGAGAUAGCGGCGGAGAACAAUCACAAGGAAGCUUCACAUCCCUUCGCUAUCUCGGGAUUGUUGAAUGCAAAGCAUUGGAGUAUUUGCCAUGUGAAAUGCUAGGAUUCUCUCUUGAGGAGAUGUGGUUGGAGGGUUUAAGUAGCCUAAAGAAUCUAGCAAAGGUAUUUGACAGCCUCCCAAAAUCGCCUCGUCUGAGAAAUUUAUCAAUUGAAGGCGUUCCUAAAUUUAUGGCCAAUUGUUAUGUUGAGACUCCGCAUUUUCCCAAUUUGAGAGACGCGAAUCUGGAUGUUAGUAUGAGCUCGAUGGAGGCUGUGGAUGGCAUAUUACAAGGAUGCUGCCACUCACUAAAUAUGUUAAGAUUGACGGGGAUGGAAAGUUGGGAAUGCCUGCCGGAAUCAAUUCAACUUCUCACUGCUCUUUCUCAGCUAGAGUUAUAUAAUUUUGGAAUGGAAGAGUUACCUAAAUGGUUUGGGAAUCUCUCAUCUCUAAAGGAGUUGAAGUUAGAGAAUUUUGGAAUGGAAGAGUUACCUGAAUGGUUUGGGAGCCUCUCAUCCCUAAAGGAGUUGUCUUUAUGGAACUGCAAAAGGCUAAGGCGUCUACCCUCUGUGGAUGCAAUGCAGCGUCUUACAACAUUAAACAAACUACAUAUUAAGGAUUGCCCGGAAUUAGUGAUUAAAAGGGAGGCAGCUGAUUCUGAAUGGCCCAAGGUUUCCCAUAUCCCCAACAUCUACAUUAAUUUCGUCAAAUACAACUACAUUGCCGGUGUCGAUACAGAAAGUGGUACGAAGAAACAGUUGUGUUUGGGGUGCCUCUAAAGAAUUAGGAUAUGAAGAAGGAAUGAGUGGUUUACCUGUCUGGGCUUACAUGCACAGCGUGUUGCUUCUGCUGAGGGAGUUUCUCUGAUAGCCACACACACUUCUCCUAGUGUCAAAGAUAGAUGGACGUGGAGAGCAGAUAAAGAUGGGGAGUACACGACAAAAUCAGCAUACUCGGUGAUCAAAGCUUCAAGGAUUACUUUCCAGCCGGUGAUCACUAAUAAGGAGGAGUUGGCAAAAAUCUGGGAUACACCUGCGAUCCAAAAAGCAAAAGUCUUAGCUUGGAGGAUUCUGAGGCGAAGAUUACCAACUUGUGAUAAUCUUAGGAAGAGGAAUGUGCUGCUAGGGGUGGAGGAGGCGACGUGCAAUGCGUGCUUCCACAAACUUGAAUCGAUUGAGCACGUCUUCUUACUCUGCCCAAAAACUGGAAUGCUUUGGGACAAGAUCCAAAAGUGGCUCGGAUGUAGCGCGGCUCGACCUCAAAGUAUCUCCUCUCACUUUCAAACCUUUACUCAUCUGGGCGGGGGGAAGGAAAGUGAGCUCUUCCUCAAGGCUUUGUGGAUGUGCACCAUUUGGGUGUUGUGGAAGAAAAGGAACGAGAGUCGCUUUGAAGGAAAAGGGUGGCAGAUUGACGGUGCUCUCAUGGAGGUCAAAAGGAGAUCAUGGAGCUGGGCUAACGAGUUUAGCAGUCUCGGUAAAGAUUUUAGUUUCUGUAAUUGGUGCUCUGAUGACUUGUUGUCAAGACUGAUGUAAGUUUCUUGUUCAUGGUACCUCUGGUACCUAAGUUCCUUUUAAUGAAUUUUCUUGAUCAAAAAAAAAAAAAAUUAUAAUGAGAAUGACUAAUUGCAUAACGAUAUGCUAAUUUUUAAAUGUGAUGUGAAUUUGGUUUAGGAAUUUGAUUUUUAAUCUGUAAUACGGCGUUUAGUUUGAAAGAUAGCCUUGAUAGAUAAGAAUAGUAAAGUUAAUCCAUUAUUUACUUUAAUGGAUAUCAACUUUGAGAUAUUCCAAGACAUUUGAUUAUUUUUACCAUUUAAACUAGUUUUGCUUUAUUUUUAUCUCAU